GUUUUUCUUGAACCAAAAGCCUUUUUUUUUCUUUCUUUUCUUUUUUCACCCACUUUUUUAAAGUUAAAUCUUUUAAUAUUCGUCCGUUUAGACCAGGGGUGUCAACUGUUACUCCCAAAGAGGGCCAGAUUUGGACCUGUUCAAGGUGUACUGGGUCGACUCCGAUAGCCUUGUGACCCCAAAAGAAAUUCAACGAGUUCUAAAGAUGGAUGGAUGGACGCUUGACAAUUUCCAUCUUUGUUCCUGCUUCCUAAAGCACAAACCUGCUAUACUUUCUGUGGCCAGCAGAUGGAGAAGUUGGACCACAAACUGAGCUGUUCUGUAACAGCUUGACUUCCUCCAAUGGGAAGUACUAUGUUGAUCUAAGAAACAGGAGAGUUCAGAGUUUAUUUAGCAGAGAGAGGGGAAAAAAGCCAACAUCUCAUAGAAUUACAUGGUUUUGCUUUGUUUUUUCAGCUGAAGGAAAAUCCUUGCAAUAAAUAGUUUUGUCUGUU